rnacentral:lncRNA from 1 species
CCCGCUACAGGUCUCACACUCCCUCGGCUGCAGGUCGCGGCCUCCCGCGGCUGCAGGUCGCGGAUUCGACUUCGUCGCUGCACAUAGGGACCGUGGCCUCCCCCGCGUGUGGUCGCCUCCGUCCUGCUUCGGCCCGUUUCCGGCUAUCCAUAGACUGAUUGAACUGACGGGCAUCCCCUCCGACGAUUGCAGCUUCACCAAUGUUGCCGUUCAACAACGCAGCGGUGAGAUGCUUUUCUCUCGUUUUCUCCCGCCUCUGUAAUUUCUUUUUGAUUUUGGGGACUGAGUGAGUGCAGUACACCGAGGCAUUCCAUGUGCUGAUGGGUUUUCUUGAUUAGCACAAAUUCAUGAACUAUCAUUUUUUUAAUUGAACUGUUGCUACUCUUGAUUCAGAUCUGAGGGGAGAAGACAAACUAAAUGAUUCAGUUCAUCAUUGGCAUCCUUGUGAACAGUUUUGAAGAUAGCUUUCAGAGACUAAUUACGUGAUAUUUCUCUCAAACUUUUUCUACAAAUAGCCUGGGACUUCCACUGACUGUGCCACUGCUUCAGCGUCCACCAUCAGUGGCAUUGGCCGCCCUCUGGUAUGUUGCUAUACUACAUCUCUGCAUGUAUUUUGUUGGGACAAAUGCAUUUUUGCCCCUAGUUGGAACCUACCCACGGGUUUUGCUCUUACUUUUCGACUCUGCUCAGUUUUGCCCUUAGAUUUUGCUGCGAGGUCGCCCGAAUGCCCUUUGACCAUUUGACCAAUACUUUGAAAAUUCAUAACAAAUUGAUAUGAGCUCAGAAAAAUGCAAAUAAGAUAUCAAAAUGUUCAGAUAAACAUUAUCUUUAUGUUUAUGUCAUUUGCAUUCAAGACAAAAGUACCAUUUAAUCAAACUAAGGUUAUUAAUGUUAUUAACAUUAUUAAAAAUAAAAAGGUAUAAACAAUAACUUUUUGAGGAAUAAAAAUAACACGCAAAUGCAGGUGGCAUUUUAUGAACAUCCCGAUAUCUUAUUGGCAUUAUUAUGAGUUCAUAUCAACUUGUUAUGAAGUUUUAAAAUAAUGGUCAGUCAUUUGAACAUUCAUCACAAGUUGAUACGAACUCAGAAAAAUGCAAAUAAGAUAUCAGGAUGUUCAGAAAACGUCCCCUACAUUUGUAUGUAAUUUUUAUUCCUGGAAAAAAAUUAUUUUUAUACCAUUUUAUUUAUAGUAAUGUUAAUAACAUUAAUAACCUUAGGUUGUUUAAAUGGUAUUUUUUUCCUGAAUGCAAAUGACAUGCACAUAAAGGUAAUGUUUAUCUGAACAUUUUGAUAUCUUAUUUGCAUUUUUCUGAGUUUAUAUCAAUUUCUUAUGAAUUUUCAAAGUAUUGGUCAAACGGUCAAAGGGCAUUGAAGCGACCUCGGAGGAAAAUCUAAGGGCAAAACUGAGCAGAGUCGAAAAGUAAGGGCAAAACCCGUGGGUAGGUUCCAACUAGGGGCAAAAAUGUAAUUGUCCCUAUUUUGUUUGGGAUGUAAGUCUUUCUAUAGAUCAUGUUAUGAGUAAUGGAAUAGGACGAGGUUGCUAGGAAGAUUUUUAGUUCACCUUUAAUGUGAUGUGCACUUCAUCUUUACAGAGCCAAAUCUUGGCGCUCCCAGCCGCUGCUCCUGAACCCCGCCUCCAUCAGCUCCACUUCACCGGAGCCGCCAGUCCGCAUGAGUAGGGCUAGCGUAUCCCCCUACAGCGGUCAAAUCCCACUGCACCCAGCCGCUGCUCUUGAACCUCGCCUCCAUCAGCUCCACUUCACUGGAGCCGUCAGUCUGCAGGAGUAGGGGUAGCAGGUUCACCCAACGUCGGACGCCUUCUUCCAUCUCCAAAAAUCUUGUUUUUGAGUUCAGUUCUUCAUCACAUGUUUCACUAGCUGAAAUUGCUUGACGAACAGAGCAAAGGUUGUAUCUUCGUCUACUGUUUUUCAGAUAUUUGUCAUAUGCAUGGGCACGGCUAUAUUUGCUUGUUAUGAUCUAGUGGGCACCAUUAACAUUUGAUAUUCCUUCUGCAGGGCCCAAACCCGCUAUCGUGCAAGAAAAAGAAAUCAAAGCCCCAACCGUCAGCUGCUCAAAUCAUCAGGUAAUUAAUCAGCACUAAACAUACGUGUCUAAUCCAAUGUUGCGAAAGCAAGCUUGGAGUUGCUUGACUUAUCUUGAGGUGUAGAACUGAUAUAAGACGGAGAAGAGAUAAUGCAACAAAAAUGUUAGAUAGGCAGGGGAAGUCCAUUGUGCAUUCUGAUUUGUUGUAGCUCCUGACAUCACGGUUUAUGUGUGCUGUAGGAUUGAUUUUUGUUUGGUUUAAAUAGUAAUAUCCUAAUUCUGUUCAUGGAGGACGCUUGAGUGGGUUGUCUAUUUGAUGAUUUUAGUUACCGCUCAACACCUCAUUCCAUUAGUAUAGCGAGAACUACACAAGAUAAAUAAGAUGGGAGAGGAUAAAUAUCAUUGUGUGGUUCUUUUGCAAAUUAAAUCAAAUAGUCCGUGCACAGUAAAAGGGAAUAUUUACAAAGAAAAAUGUACUGAAAGUACAUUUAUCAUAUUUUGUGAAGUUCUAGAAAAAGAAAAGGAAAAGUUCAAGCAAAACCAAAAAGUUCAAAAAUAGGGCCAUUAUUGGUCGCCUGGGUCAGUUCAUGUGCUACCAUUGGAGGAGUUUAAAAAAUCAUAACUAGUGCAUUUCCAUAAAAUUCUGUAGUUUCGUGUGUGUGCUGCUACAAAUAUGAACAAUUUUUUUUCCAAUCAUACUAGUACUGAUGCAAUCACCUAAAAUAAGUUGAAGAAAAAUUCUGUAAGUUUGGUGCAUGUGUUGCUACAAAAAUCUAUUGUAUGUCUGUGUGUAGCUACUGUAUGUCUUCUGAAUCAUGAUGCAUGAUAUUCUUUCAGGAAAAAUAUUUUCAGGUUAUUGGUGCCGCUGGAUAACUGUCAUAGUUUGUCGCCAGCAAAGUCCUCGAACUUGGUCUACACCAGUAGUAGAACUUACUGGUUCUCCGUGACCUAAAGUUGAAAACAGACAAAAAUUCUCAAGUAAUGUAAUCUGUAGCAAAACACACAAUUCUUUUAUCGAAAUGUUGUAACUAGAGGACUAUAACCACUACAGGAUGCCAAAAAAGUAUCAGACUGCACAAGUAGUGUUCCAUUUAUCUUUCUCUCAUGCCUGCCCUUUUGAUCUUAUAGGAAUUGAGGCUUCGCCAAGGAACAAGACUGGUAACUAGCGCAAAGGAGACUAUGUCGAGAGGUGGCACUGCAAGACUUGCUGAUGUGUAGUUAUGGCAUAAAAAGAUGAAAAAAUUGUAUCUUGUAUGAUUCCAUAAGCUGUACAUAGCAAAUCUUCCCAUGUGGAUCAGUACAACUUAUGUACGGCCUUGAGUUCACAAAUCUUAUAGUAAUCUUUGUAGUGCUUUUCGUAACACUAAGUAAAGCAAGAGUAGCCCUUUUCUUGUGAGCAACAAUUCAAACGAAUCUGUUGUAUCAGUUCUUAUGAUAGAUAGAAGAUAAAACAAGAAAGAGAAGCCCUUUUUUUGUAUCAGCUCUGUUGAAUCUGUUGUAUCAGCAAGAGUAGCCCUUUUUUUGUAUAAGUUCACUAGCCAAAAGGUUAGAGAAGUCUACCUUAUAAUUUGCAAUCUUAAAG